UCCGAACCUGCCGAUGACUCGGGGAUAGCCUUUCGAAAGAAAGAUUAAUACCCGAUGGGCAUAGUUCUUCCGCAUGGUGGAACUAUUAAAGAAUUUCGGUCAUCGAUGGGGAUGCGUUCCAUUAGGUUGUUGGCGGGGUAACGGCCCACCAAGCCUUCGAUGGAUAGGGGGUUCUGAGAGGAAGGUCCCCCACAUUGGAACUGAGACACGGUCCAAACUCCUACGGGAGGCAGCAUG
rnacentral:rRNA from 1 species